UUCCCUCUUUUCCCUCUCUUUCUUUUCCCCUCUUCCUCUUUCUUUCUUCCAGCCAAACGCUCAUCUUUCUUCCAGCCAACAUUCCAGCCAACGUUCAGCCUCUUCUUCAGCCACCAGCCAGCCGCGUGUGACCCGCACCACCAGCCACCUCCGGCGCCGCCGACACUGAACAACCAGCCACUCGUCUCCUCUGCAAGUGCUUUCACGCUAUAUGAUACGGAAAAAGGAAAAAGAGUUGUGAGUCUAAAGUAUUAUAGUCUAAAAUGCCGACAACAACCAAAAACCACAGAGUGCGGUAUCUACUGCAUUAAGUAUGCUAGGGAUCUCAUUUCACAACAAAGAACCAGAUCAUAUCUAUCGAAUAAUGUAAUAACUAAAUGUGUUUGCCUUUUAACUUUAAUAAUGUUAUAUUUUAAUUUCAUAAAUAUUUGACAUGUAACUUAUAAUUUAAAUUAUUUGCAGUUCAAUUCAGAUUUACCAUAUACUGACGCUGAACUUAAUGAAGUUCAAGAAGAGUGGGC